rnacentral:misc_RNA from 1 species
GAUGAAGAACGUAGCGAAAUGCGAUAAGUAAUGUGAAUUGCAGAAUUCAGUGAAUCAUCGAAUCUUUGAACGCACAUUGCGCCCGCCAGUAUUCUGGCGGGCAUGCCUGUUCGAGCGUCAUUUCAACCCUCAAGCCCCAGUGGCCUGGUGUUGGGGACCGGCGACCUCGCCCGGGGACACCUCGCGUGCCCCCCCCGGUGCGUCCGCCGCCCCCGAAAUGAAUUGGCGGCCCCGUCGCGGCCUCCUCUGCGUAGUAGCACAACCUCGCAGCGGGAGCGCGACGCGGCCACUGCCGUAAAACGCCCAACUUUUUUAGAGUUGACCUCGGAUCAGGUAGGAAUACCCGCUGAACUUAAGCAUAUCAAUAAGCGGAGGA